UACGAAGGGGGCUAGCGUUGCUCGGAAUCACUGGGCGUAAAGGGUGCGUAGGCGGGUCUUUAAGUCAGGGGUGAAAUCCUGGAGCUCAACUCCAGAACUGCCUUUGAUACUGAAGAUCUUGAGUUCGGGAGAGGUGAGUGGGAACUGCGAGUGUAGAGGUGAAAUUCGUAGAUAUUCGCAAGAACACCAGCGGCGAAGGCGCUUUCUGGUCCGAUACUGACGCUGAGGUGCGAAAGCGUGGGGAGCGAGUCCGG
rnacentral:rRNA from 1 species